CAGUGCCGCGGGAAUACGUAGGUGGCAAGCGUUGUCCGGAAUUAUUGGGCGUAAAGGGCUCGCAGGCGGUUUCUUAAGUCUGAUGUGAAAGCCCCCGGCUCAACCGGGGAGGGUCAUUGGAAACUGGGAAACUUGAGUGCAGAAGAGGAGAGUGGAAUUCCACGUGUAGCGGUGAAAUGCGUAGAGAUGUGGAGGAACACCAGUGGCGAAGGCGACUCUCUGGUCUGUAACUGACGCUGAGGAGCGAAAGCGUGGGGAGCGAACAGGAUUAGAGACCCGGGUAGUCCCUGUCUCUUAUACA
rnacentral:rRNA from 1 species